UGGGGAAUCUUGGACAAUGGGGGCAACCCUGAUCCAGCGACGCCGCGUGGGUGAUGAAGGCCUUCGGGUUGUAAAGCCCUUUUGUCGGGGACGAUGAUGACGGUACCCGGCGAAUAAGCACCGGCUAACUCCGUGCCAGCAGCCGCGGUAAUACGGAGGGUGCUAGCGUUGUUCGGAAUUACUGGGCGUAAAGGGCGCGUAGGCGGCCGUUUGCGUCGGAUGUGAAAGCCCGGGGCUCAACCUCGGAACGGCAUUCGAUACGGGACGGCUGGAGACCGGGAGAGGAGAGUGGAAUAGCCAGUGUAGAGGUGAAAUUCGUAGAUAUUGGCUGGAACACCGGUGGCGAAAGCGGCUCUCUGGCCCGGUUCUGACGCUGAGGCGCGAAAGCGUGGGGAGCAAACAGGAUUAGAUACCCUGGUAGUCCACGCCCUAAACGAUGUGUGCUGGGCGUCGGGGGGCUUGCCCUCGGUGCCGGAGCUAACGCGGUAA
rnacentral:rRNA from 1 species